CAGUCGCCACGGUAAUACAGAGGGUGCAAGCGUUAAUCGGAAUUACUGGGCGUAAAGCGUGCGUAGGCGGUUCGUUAAGUCUGCUGUGAAAGCCCUGGGCUCAACCUGGGAAUUGCAGUGGAUACUGGGCAACUAGAGUAAGGUAGAGGAUAGUGGAAUUUCCGGUGUAGCAGUGAAAUGCGUAGAGAUCGGAAGGAACAUCUGUGGCGAAGGCGACUAUCUGGGCCAUUACUGACACUGAGGCACGAAAGCGUGGGGAGCAAACAGGAUUAGAUACCCCAGUAGUCCCUGUCUCUUAUAC
rnacentral:rRNA from 1 species